rnacentral:rRNA from 1 species
CCGGAGCUAACGCGUUAAGUAGACCGCCUGGGGAGUACGGCCGCAAGGUUAAAACUCAAAUGAAUUGACGGGGGCCCGCACAAGCGGUGGAGCAUGUGGUUUAAUUCGAUGCAACGCGAAGAACCUUACCUGGUCUUGACAUCCACAGAAAUUUGCAGAGAUGCGAAUGUGCCUUCGGGAACUGUGAGACAGGUGCUGCAUGGCUGUCGUCAGCUCGUGUUGUGAAAUGUUGGGUUAAGUCCCGCAACGAGCGCAACCCUUAUCCUUUGUUGCCAGCGAUUAGGUCGGGAACUCAAAGGAGACUGCCAGUGAUAAACUGGAGGAAGGUGGGGAUGACGUCAAGUCAUCAUGGCCCUUACGACCAGGGCUACACACGUGCUACAAUGGCGCAUACAAAGAGAAGCGACCUCGCGAGAGCAAGCGGACCUCAUAAAGUGCGUCGUAGUCCGGAUUGGAGUCUGCAACUCGACUCCAUGAAGUCGGAAUCGCUAGUAAUCGUGGAUCAGAAUGCCACGGUGAAUACGUUCCCGGGCCUUGUACACACCGCCCGUCACACCAUGGGAGUGGGUUGCAAAAGAAGUAGGUAGCUUAACCUUCGGGAGGGCGCUUACCACUUUGUGAUUCAUGACUGGGGUGAAGUCGUAACAAGGUAACCGUAGGGGAACCUGCGGUUGGAUCACCUCCUUA